rnacentral:lncRNA from 1 species
GUAAACCAAGAGAGAAUUGUGCAAAAAUGUCUUCAGGGUCACUUCUUUCCCUAACUUGGUCCCUCAGAGUUCUUUCCACUAGAUAUCCAGUGUGUUCAACCUAACUCCUAUCUGCAGUGGGCCUCCAAAUAUUGCACCCCUAUGGGCAGGGCUGUGUGUCAUUUCCCUGGCCCCUAUCUGGGUCAAAACUGUCAUUCCUCCAGGGACCUGCUGGGCAACUAGCAAACUAAUCUUCAAUGUAUUUUACCCAAGGUGUUAAUGACAGAUAAUGGCUUAAUGCAUUACCCCUCCCAGCUAACAUUUCCAUUUUAAUAGAGCCUUUAAAUGCUUUAACCUGAAGGAAACAGCAUGAAAAAUGCAGGGAUAGCAAAUAUCUGGCACCUUUGCUCCUUCCCUGUUCCUGGAAGACAUCUUCAAAUGGUCACUGAGGCUUUUCCUGCUAUGCCUGGACAUACCCUGAGAAGCCCAUAGGGCCCUGGGCAGCCCCUACCAGCCUAUGAUGGGAGUUACCAUGCAAGAUGAAAUCUAUUUGCCAACCUUAUCGUGAAACAAAUAUUUGUCCAGGAGUAAAAAGACCUGAAUUCUACUUUGGGGCUUUGACAUUACCUGGACAUAGGGCCUAAACAAAUUUAUUAGACAUUUCCAAGUCUCAGUUUCCUUACCCAUAAAAUGAGAGGACUGGCAUUAGAGUCAAGCAUUUCCAAAGCAUAGUUCUCAAUCUGCCAGGGACUCUCAAAAUCUGACCUCACAGCUCUCCAAGCUGGUUGCUGCUACCACGUACCUCUUCCCAUUUUUGCCUUGCUUCCCACAAGGGAAGGAAAUUCACUCCCAACUGGGCACCACCUUUCUAUCUCUAUUUGGGGACCUUCCUGUCCCUGAAAGGCCCUGGGAACAUAAUGUAAAGCAACUAUGGGGGCAGCUGCUAAGAAGCCAGAUCUUGUGACACUAAGAGUCCAGUCACGUGGUUCAGAGUCCACAGCAACCUGUGGCGACUAUGCAGUCAUCAGCCAGAGAGGCAGAGCCUCUGUCUGGAGAUGUGUCAGAAAUGGGUGUGACUAGUCCCAGACACAUCAAGUGAGGAAAAAUCAGGUGUGCAGAUUACGUUGUGUAAAUGCCUUUCUAAUUCUCAAUGCUCCAGGAAGGAAUCUCAGAGAUUAAAUUAAGCUGUUAACCCUCUAGGCGCUCCUGUCGUUUAUUGUUAAGGAAUUAAUAGGAAUGCGGGAAUGCAGAUGGCCUGGCUGUCAGCUCGGAGAGGCGAUUUUUCUGAUCUCCAAGGAGGUUUCCAGCAUCUUUCAUUAAGCACUCGUGUACCAACUUGUCAUUUUAACCGAGCAGCAAAGAAACUCCCACUCAACUGCCUACCUCAGCGCUCCAGGACGCAGGUGGCACGCUCAACGCGGGGAGGCGCCACCUACAGGACAGAGGAAGACCUGCAGCUUGGGCUUGAGAUUUCAACAGUCUGUGGCGGGGGCUGAUGAGGGCGGCCCCUCCUCCUCCUGGAGUAAUAAUAGUCCCUGACAUUUAUCGAAUGCUCUUCUCGUGCCAGACACUGUCCUGAGCACUUGACAUGUAUUAAUGAUUUUAAACCUCACAACAACCCUAUUAGCAUUCAACUCUAUGGGCCCUCAAUUCUGCAGCUUUGGUUUACCAUUUUUUGAGACUCGCUUACUCGUCUGGAAAGGAAAUCUUUGCUAAGGUAAUAUGGUACCCAGAGGAACCCAGAGAGAUAACAACCUCUUCUAUUUGUAAAGACCACUUGUGAAGGAAACUCCAUAACCUCCCUGUGGUGGAGUGUAUUAUUGCUCAGCAAACAUUCAUUCUUCUCUAUUUCCCUCCGUUGGGGGAGCAAACUUCCCCACUCCAUUGAUGAUGGGUCUAGCCAUGUGACUUGUUUUAGCCAAUGGAAUGUAAACAGAGGCUUUAACUCUACUUGCUUGGUUAAGCUUGGUCUCUUGCACCUCUACCCUUUGCCACGAGAAGAGCAUGCCCUUGUCACUUCGGCCUGAGUCCCAGAAUGAGAAGUUACAUGGAGCAGACCUGAACAAGAUUCACAACCUGAACAGAAUCACUGCAGCCAAUCCACAAACCUAAAAUUGUCUACAUUCCUGCCUGGGCAUGGUGGCUCAUGCCUGUAAUCCAGCACUUUGGGAGGCCGAGGUGGGCGAGUCACUUGAGUCAGGAGUUCGAGACCAGCCUGGCCAACAUGGUGAAACCCUGCCUCUACUAAAAAUACAAAAAAUUAGCUGAGCAUGGUGGUGCAUGACUGUAAUCCCAGCUACUUGGGAGGCUGGGUCAGGAGAAUCGCUUUAACUGGGAGGUGGAGGUUGCAGUGAGCCAAGAUCACGCCACUGCACUCCAGAGUGGGAAACAGAGCAAGACUCCACCUCAAAAAGAAGAAGGAGAAGGAGAAGGAGAUUAUCUACAUUCCUGAGGAGGAGAAGUUGUACUUAAACUACCUUGAUCCAACUUCCAGCUUUACAAUCAUUGCCCCCCACCAUGCAUAUAUCAUACAUAUAUACCUGCUAGCAUGAAUACCUGCAUCAUAUCUAGAAUUAAUGGGAAUAGUCAUAGGGCCAAUCUUUCUUAUAUCAAGCAAGCUGAACAAGGGUCCAAGGGAUAAGGCCACAGCUACUUCCUCCUGCUUUAGAACAGAGCUAAAUAAACCUGUUCCUAAGUCUUGUGAGUUAUUGCAUCCUUGCCUUAUAAGGAAUGAAGACUUAACCUGCUUCCUGGCAGUCAUUACUAACUGAGUGAAGAUUCCCAUUAAUCCAGAAAUGGGAGCCUCUCUGGCUUGCAUAUGUCCAGGAAUGGACAUACCACCCACAGUUUUACUCCUGGUGGCCAAUCGGUCCCGCACACAAACACAGGCACAUCUUUUAUUUAAUGCUCAAGAUUUGUGAACAACUCCCAGCACUGUGCCUUCCAAAGGGCUUGCAUUAAGUGCUGGUGAAGGAGCAGGGACCUCUAUCAUGGCCAGAGCCAGUCAAUAAUGACACCCUGGCAGCUCUCAAAGGUGCACGAGUGGAAUGGCCAUUGAGCUACUCCAUGCAAUGAAAAGUUCUAAUGGGGAGUGGGGACACUUCUCUCCCCAGUCCCAUCCCAUGGCUUGGCUGAAAAUUUUUUUCUUUUGGGAGAUCACUGGCUUUCUCCAGCAACCUUGACUAUAAGGAUGAGGAUGAGGAGAAAAAAUAAGAACUGCCGAGUGUGGUGGCUCACGCCUGUAAUCCCAGCACUUUGGGAGGCUGAGGUGGGUGGAUCACAAAGUCAGGAGUUCAAAACCAGCCUGGCCAAGAUGGUGAAAUCCCGUUUCUACUAAAAAUACAAAAGAAAAAAAAAUUAGCCAGGCGUGGUGGCGAGUGCCUGUAAUCCCAGCUACUGGUGAGGCUAAGGCAGAGAAUUGCUUGAACCAGGGAGGCAGAGGUCACAGUGAGCCGAGAUCAUGCCACUGCACUCCAGCCUUUGCAACAGAGUGAGACUCUGUCUCAAAAAAAAAAAAAGUACACAGGGGAGGUUGUGGGGAAUUUGGAAUAUUCCCUAAGGAUUUCCUCCAUUGAAGAGGUCUGCUUUAAAGUACUGGGGGUCCACAAACUCACCCCAUUUCCAGCUUGGCCUUGGGAGAAGAGGAGGACAGAGAACAGAAUUCUGGAUUGUUACUAGGUAGUUGGGCUGCAUCAGGAAGACAUUUUGGUAGAAGGAGAGGAAAGAGAGGUAGGAAGUGGGAAGGGAAGCACUAAGGGUUUUUUUUUUGACCCUGAUCCCCUUAGCUAGACAAGCUCAGUGGGGCUUAGGAUGGAGGUCAGGGAUAGCCUAAGAUCCUGUUACUGAAAGGGUAGUCUCCAGCCAGCAGCAUCAGCAUCACCUGGCUCUUAGGCUUCACCCCAGACCUACUGAAUCAGAAACUGCAUUUUAAUCCCUAGGUGAUAAGUAUGUCCAAUAAAAUUUCAGAAGCAUUAGCCUAGAUGCUUCAAUGGGAAUAACUUCUUGCAGUGAGCUAUUGAGGAACUGUGCUGGAUAAUCUCUCUGCCCUUCCAAAUCCACUUGCCAUCCUUAUUCCCCUGCUCUUGGGACUAAGAAGUGAAUUGAUGAAUUCGCUUCCUUUAUUCAUUGCUUCAACAGGCUCCCUUGUCAUCUGGCUUCUGGUUGGGCUCAGCCAAUGGUCAGUGCUCAAGAAGCAGUGACUUAAGUGACAUUAAUAGUGACUUUACCAGCCAGGCAGGGUGGCUCAUGCCUGUAAUCCCAGCACUUUGGGUGGCCAAGACGGGUGGAUCACCUGAGGUCAGGAGUUUGAGACCAGCCUGGCUAACAUGGUGAAAUCCUG